rnacentral:RNase_P_RNA from 2 species
UCAGCAAGCUGGCUUAUCGCUGCGUCUUCGGGCGGGGAGGAAAGUCCGGGCAACGCAGAGCAUCCUGCUUCCUAACGGGAAGGCACCUGGCGGGCGACAGCCAGGUGACAGCCAGUGCCACAGAAAAGUACCGCCGGUUUUGCCGGUAAGGGUGAAAAGGUGCGGUAAGAGCGCACCAGCGGCUAGGCAACUAGUCCGGCUGGGUAAACCUCAGGAGUUGAAAGACCAAAUAGGCUGACAGCGCCUUUCCUUUGGGAGAGGCUAAGGGCUGCUCGUCCGAUGUCAGCGGGUAGGUUGAUGGAGCCCCUCCGUGAGGAUGGGUCUAGAUAAAUGAUAAGCCAUUUGCCAUUUGGCAGAGGACAAAACCCGGCUUACAGGCUUGCUGAUUUU